rnacentral:rRNA from 1 species
CGGCAGCCCGAGUGGGGAUCACUAUUAUUGGGUCUAAAGGUUCCGUAGCCGGUUUGAUCAGUCUUUUGGGAAAUCUGACAGCUUAACUGUUAGGCUUCCAAAAGAUACUGACAGACUUGGGACCGGGAGAGGUAAGAGGUACUACAGGGGUAGGAGUGAAAUCUUGUAAUCCCUGUGGGACCACCAGUGGCGAAGGCGUCUUACCAGAACGGGUCCGACGGUGAGGGACGAAAGCUGGGGGCACGAACCGGAUUAGAUACCCGAGUAGUCC